CCUACGGGCGGCAGCAGUGGGGAAUAUUGGACAAUGGGGGCAACCCUGAUCCAGCCAUGCCGCGUGUGUGAAGAAGGCCCUCGGGUUGUAAAGCACUUUCAGUGAGGAAGAACGCCUGGUGGUUAAUACCCAUCAGGAAAGACAUCACUCACAGAAGAAGCACCGGCUAACUCCGUGCCAGCAGCCGCGGUAAUACGGAGGGUGCGAGCGUUAAUCGGAAUUACUGGGCGUAAAGCGCGUGUAGGUGGCUUGAUAAGCCGGUUGUGAAAGCCCCGGGCUCAACCUGGGAACGGCAUCCGGAACUGUCAAGCUAGAGUGCAGGAGAGGAAGGUAGAAUUCCCGGUGUAGCGGUGAAAUGCGUAGAGAUCGGGAGGAAUACCAGUGGCGAAGGCGGCCUUCUGGACUGACACUGACACUGAGGUGCGAAAGCGUGGGUAGCAAACAGGAUUAGAUACCCGUGUAGUC
rnacentral:rRNA from 1 species